rnacentral:pre_miRNA from 1 species
CUGAUUUCAAGCGGUGGAUAGAUUUCCACAACAAAAGUCUAGCACCAUUUGAAAUCAGUGU